rnacentral:lncRNA from 1 species
ACACUUGGAUCUAUCCUACAACAUGAGCUUGGUUAAGCUUUUAGCUACUAUCAAGAAUUUACAAAAGCUUAAACAUCUUAUCUUGAAGCGAUGCAUGACUUUGGAAUAUAUUCCAAUAUAUGUAAUAAAGCUGAUGGCUUUAUCCCUCUUAGAUGUUGAAGAUUGUGAUAGUUUAUUGCAAGUUGGAAUUUCUAAAUUAAAUUUAUCCAGGACAAUAUCAAGCUUCAGGGAUAAAUAGAAAUUGAUCUUGGAUGACGUGGUAAAUGAUUUAUCAACUUUGGAGGAUCUGAACGUAUCGAAUCAUUAAAAUUUUCCUAUUGAUCCUUAUGGUUUCAAAAUGAUGAAACGAUUAACUGUUAAGAGGUAGGUUCAUUCGCAAAGAACUCAAAUCAAGAGUUCUUAUUUUUUUAGAAAAUAAAAUAAAAUAAAAAAGUUCCUUCAUAAGUAUCAAAAAUACUAAUAUCUAUUUAAUUCAAAUUAGUUAUUUUUUGUGUGAGAUAGAUCUGUGUGUGGUAUGUAUACAAAAAUGUAUAUUGAUUUACAAGUAGCAACACCACUAGAAAAAACACCCCGUCUAAGAGGACUAACACUCAUACUAUCAGGAACAAUGACGAAACUGAAGUUAUUCAAAGCUGAUUGAAAACAAUGCGAGACUUCGCUAAAGUUUUUGGCAUCUUGCAACAAUCUUUGCACAAUUAAUUUGCAUGGCAUUCCAUUACCAAAGAAAUUCUGGGAAGUGGAUCUCACCUCUUGUUUUUGUCGAGCAAAUGGCGUUGACAUUGGUUUCAGGACGGCAGAUGAGAUGCAUUUAAUUCCGGACGCUGUCAAAUCCUUGCCGAAUCUGCAUUUCAUUGUGAAGUAGCUUAGAAAUGGGUGUUUGUGAGCUUUCCUUGGUGUCAAAGAAGAUGAAGAAGAGUGAUUCAAGUUUUUGAGUUGGUAUGAAUGAAGAGGUGGACUUGCUGAUUGUACCACUCUACAUGGUUUUUUUUUUCAAGACUUGUUUGGAAAGUGUCUUUUGUGGUUAAUUUUUUUUAAUAAAUUAUUGUGUUGUCCUACAAUUGAAUAUUAGGACUAAAUACGAUUGUGUGAAAAUUGUAUUAUUUUGAAGGUAGGGAAAUAUGGGACUUUUGGUAGUUUGACUCUUAAGUUUUGACUGACCUAAAAAUAUUGGUGACUAUUUUGUCAAGUACAAAAAUCUUGCUUGGAUUCACUUGUGGAUGGAAUGUUGCAUGUAGUUGAUUCAACAUACUUUCAUUUACUGUUAAUUCCUAAAUUUAUGCUUCUACUUCACAUUAUUUAUCACUAUAUUUUGAGCUUACUAUUUAUUUUUUAUAUUGGAAUACAAAGAUGUAUUCAAACAGUUGAUUUUGUUGAAUUCUUGAGUAAUAAUGUGAUUUGCAUUUAUUUUUUUAAUCUACAUAAGACUUACAAAAAAAACGUGAUUAUAUAGUACCUUCAUCAUGUUUAGAGUUCAAAACACAUUGGAUGUUAUUUCUAUGGGAUUGAAAGCAUCCAGAUCAAUAGUUGUGAUGAAAAUCUUUGUCUUUUUAUUUUAAUAUUUGUUUUCAAGAGUUGCUUAAACAUGUAUAUCGUGGUGUUGGAAUUUUUAUCAUUAAUUUUUAUCAUUAAUUCCGAUAUUCGGCAAGAUGAUUAAUUCAUGGAGCACCUCAUAAUAAAUUUUGGCAGCUUGUAAUUUGUUUGUUUAUUUAUUUUUUAUUCUGUAAUAUAAAAAAACCAUAUCAUUCAAUCUUGAAAUAUUCAAGUUUGAGAAGAAUUUAUAAGGUAUUUUAAAAUAUUAUGUAGAUAUAAUUACAUUAAUUUUUUGUGAUUGUAGAUAAAAUAUUGAGCCAAUUAUCAAAUCAUAAGCUUUCAUAAGCUUCUUAUAUAUGCACUACAUAUUCAACUUGUAUUACAAAUAGCCAAUAUGUAUAAUACAUGGCCAAUUUUUUGCUUAGGUUUUUAAUCUACCAAUCACCUAUAUACACAUGUAAAGGCAAAGCCACGACUAAAAAACUUAUAGGAAACUUCUCCACAAGAUAUUAUUAUGUUUAUCUACUUUUACCUAAUUUUAUCUACUUAUAUUAUCUAAGUAAUUAUUAAAGUAAAUAUAUAUAUUUGUAACAUGGUGUAAUUUUUAUUAUUUUUUUUAAUAUUUUAUUUAAUUAUUAACACUACUUAAAUUAUUUCAUUCAAAUUAUUAAAAAAAUUAAUAAUAAUAUCUAAAACCUAAUAUUAUUAAUUAAAUUUAUAUAAAUAAUUAAUUUCUUAUAUUUUUUGAUUUUCUUGUAUAAAAAAAUAAAUCAAUUGAUAUUAAAAAUAAGUUGAGAUAACCUAAAAUAUAUCAAAUAUAUAUAUAACUUCUCAUCAACUUGAACAAAACUUACAAUGAAGUUGUUAACUUUUUUUCAAUCAAUUAAAUACUUGAAAAAUCCAGCUUUCAUAAGCUUCUAAGAUGUUCUUCUUAUUUAUGUAAAAGUAGUUUUAAGUAUUAUAUUAAUCUUUAUAACUUUGAUUGGUAUUAAGAUAGAAGAUAUGUUUUAUUUAUAUAAAUAAUUAAUAAUUUAAGAUCUUUCAAAAUUCUAAGUUAUUUUUGACAAUUACUAUUUUAUAAAAUUGGUUGUAAAAUUAUUUUAGUUGAGAUAUUAAAAUUAGAGUCUAAAUUGUUCAAUAAUUUAACAUAAGCACAUCACAAAGUUGGUUAAUACAAUAAUCAUUAGCAUGAAUAACCAUUGGAGCAAAUAAGAAUAUACUUUUUAAAGUUAAUAAUUG